AGAUCGAGGCUGCCUCCCCCUCUCAGCCGGCAGCACAUUCCGUCGCCUUGCCGCCGCCCGGCCCCACAGUUGUCUUUGCCGGAGCUGCAGUCGCGCUGGGGUUAGGGCGGGGGGGCGGGCGGGGAGAGGAGAAGGCCGCGGCGGAGGCAGGUGAGAGGAGGAAGGAAGCGGCGGCGCGGCGGGCACAGCAGCUCAGGCGGCGGCCCGGUUCCUGGGAGUGUCGGUGCGGCGCGUUGGUUGGGGCGGAUCCCGCGGGGCCCGGGCGGGGGAAGGAGUCACCGGCCCGGCCAUGGCGGACAACGAGAAACUGGACAACCAACGGCUCAAGAAUUUCAAGAACAAAGGCCGCGACUUGGAGGACAACUUCUCCGUUGAAAAAAACACCCCCGGCGUGAGAGGCCAUCCUGGUGAUCCUAACAGUGCCUUCCAGCGGCCUGUGUUUUACUCUGGAUAUAGCUGAUUCAAGAUGUGGCUCACGGUGUGCCCUCUUCCAGGCAAAGGAUACCCCUUAUUUCAGCUUGUCCACAAAUCUCUUUACCCCCUCCUGAGAGGAGACCACCAGCUGCAUUCUUACAUAUAAAGUCUAAAGGGUUAUACAAAGCUGUCAUCCUCUAGUCUACAGUAUCCUUUCCCUCCACCUGCUGGUGGUGGUAGUGGGGGAUGGGGUGGGCUAGGGAAUGGCACCAUCACGUUUGAUUAUUUAAAAAGGAAAAAAAAAGCUUCAUUGUCUUAGAUACAGCUGCUCCCGAGAUUGUCUACAUAAGGUGUAUGGGUUAAAUACACACAUGCA
rnacentral:lncRNA from 1 species